AUCGAUAACGAACGAGACCUUGACCUGCUAAAUAGCCCGUUCGACUUUGGUUGGACGCUGGCUUCUUAGAGGGACUUUUGGCUCAAGCCAAUGGAAGUACGAGGCAAUAACAGGUCUGUGAUGCCCUUAGAUGUCCUGGGCUGCACGCGCGCUACACUGACAGAGCCAGCGAGUACAUCACCUUGGCCGAAAGGUCUGGGUAAUCUUGUUAAACUCUGUCGUGCUGGGGAUAGAGCAUUGCAAUUAUUGCUCUUCAACGAGGAAUGCCUAGUAAGCGCAAGUCAUCAGCUUGCGUUGACUACGUCCCUGCCCUUUGUACACACCGCCCGUCGCUAAUACCGAUUGAAUGGUUG
rnacentral:rRNA from 1 species